rnacentral:rRNA from 1 species
GACGAACGCCGGCGGCGUGCUUAACACAUGCAAGUCGAACGGAAAGGCCCUUCGGGGUACUCGAGUGGCGAACGGGUGAGUAACACGUGGGUGAUCUGCCCUGCACUUUGGGAUAAGCCUGGGAAACUGGGUCUAAUACCGAAUAGGACCACGCGCUUCAUGGUGUGUGGUGGAAAGCUUUUGCGGUGUGGGAUGGGCCCGCGGCCUAUCAGCUUGUUGGUGGGGUAAUGGCCUACCAAGGCGACGACGGGUAGCCGGCCUGAGAGGGUGACCGGCCACACUGGGACUGAGAUACGGCCCAGACUCCUACGGGAGGCAGCAGUGGGGAAUAUUGCACAAUGGGCGCAAGCCUGAUGCAGCGACGCCGCGUGAGGGAUGACGGCCUUCGGGUUGUAAACCUCUUUCAAUAGGGACGAAGCGCAAGUGACGGUACCUAUAGAAGAAGCACCGGCCAACUACGUG